rnacentral:rRNA from 1 species
CGACAAGCGGUGGAGCAUGUGGUUUAAUUCGAUGAUACGCGAGAAACCUUACCAGGGCUUGACAUAUACAGGAAUGUUGUAGAGAUACAGCAGCCGCUUGCGGUCUGUAUACAGGUGCUGCAUGGCUGUCGUCAGCUCGUGCUGUGAAGUGCUGGGUAAGUCCCGCAACGAGCGCAACCCCUAUCAUCUGUUGCCAGCAUUUAAGGUGGGGACUCAGAUGAGACUGCCGGUGACAAACCGGAGGAAGUGGGGACGACGUCAAGUCAUCAUGGCCCUUAUGUCCUGGGCUACACACGUGCUACAAUGGCCGGUACAGAGUGAAGCGAAACCGCGAGGUGAAGCAAAACGCAGAAAGCCGGUCUCAGUACGGAUUGGAGUCUGAAACUCGACUUCAUGAAGUUGGAAUCGCUAGUAAUCGCGCAUCAGCAUGGCGCGGUGAAUACGUUCCCGGGCCUU